rnacentral:rRNA from 1 species
UACGUAGGGCGCAAGCGUUGUCCGGAAUUAUUGGGCGUAAAGAGCUCGUAGGCGGCUUGUCACGUCGGAUGUGAAAGCCCGGGGCUUAACUCCGGGUCUGCAUUCGAUACGGGCUGGCUAGAGUGUGGUAGGGGAGAUCGGAAUUCCUGGUGUAGCGGUGAAAUGCGCAGAUAUCAGGAGGAACACCGGUGGCGAAGGCGGGUCUCUGGGCCGAUAUCGACGCUGAGGAGCGAAAGCGUGGGGAGCGAACAGG